rnacentral:rRNA from 1 species
UACAGAGGGUGCAAGCGUUGUUCGGAUUCAUUGGGCGUAAAGGGUGCGUAGGCGGCGCGGUAAGUCGGGUGUGAAAUCUCGGAGCUUAACUCCGAAACUGCAUUCGAUACUGCCGUGCUUGAGGACUGGAGAGGAGACUGGAAUUUACGGUGUAGCGGUGAAAUGCGUAGAUAUCGUAAGGAAGACCAGUGGCGAAGGCGGGUCUCUGGACAGUUCCUGACGCUGAGGCACGAAGGCCAGGGGAGCAAACGGG